CAUUAAGAAGCUAAAACAGGAAUCAGCAUUAGCCUUUUAAGCUAAAGAUUGGUGACUACCAACCACCCUUAAUGA
rnacentral:tRNA from 1 species